rnacentral:rRNA from 1 species
GAUGAACGCUGGCGGCGUGCCUAAUACAUGCAAGUCGAGCGAAUGGAUUAAGAGCUUGCUCUUAUGAAGUUAGCGGCGGACGGGUGAGUAACACGUGGGUAACCUGCCCAUAAGACUGGGAUAACUCCGGGAAACCGGGGCUAAUACGGGAUAACAUUUUGAACCGCAUGGUUCGAAAUUGAAAGGCGGCUUCGGCUGUCACUUAUGGAUGGACCCGCGUCGCAUUAGCUAGUUGGUGAGGUAACGGCUCACCAAGGCAACGAUGCGUAGCCGACCGUGGAGGGUGAUCGGCCACACUGGGACUGAGACACGGCCCAGAAUCCUACGGGAGGCAGCAGUAGGGAAUCUUCCGCAAUGGACGAAAGUCUGACGGAGCAACGCCGCGUGAGUGAUGAAGGCUUUCGGGUCGUAAAACUCUGUUGUUAGGGAAGAACAAGUGCUAGUUGAAUAAGCUGGCACCUUGACGGUACCUAACCAGAAAGCCACGGCUAACUACGUGCCAGCCGCCGCCGUAA